CUCUAAUUUAAGCAGGGGAACGACGCGACCUGCCCCCUUAUUAGGUCGGAAAACCUAGACGUCCAGAGUGUGCGUGAUCAUGCAGCCUGGCUCCUCCUGUGACUAGUUAGAGCUUUAUUAAGAGCUAAAAGACAAGGAUGCUGAUAUUCCAUCCUGGGGACAGCAAAAUAGUAUUUUCCCAGCCCUUAGGAAUCCUUUCUGUUUGUGUAAGGUUUAUUCGCUUGCUCUGAGCUCUCAACUGAAGAAGGGGAGAAUUUGCCUACCAGAAGUUAUUUGGCUAAGGCCCACGUGGAAGCUUAAAAAACAGGAGAGCUGAGUAUCUGCAAGAAUUAAUUUGUGCGAUUCCCUCUGAGUAGAAAAGGAACACGGUGUUAUAAGUUUUGCUGAACGAAUAGAUUUAAGGUGUCCCUUUAGCUAAGAGCAAUGUGGUCUAGUUGUGUGUAGCGAGAAAAAAGGGUAAGGUUUUUAAUGGUUUGUCCAAAGUAGCCCCACUUUUAUGUUCCACCCGAGUCUCCGUAGGAAACGCAACCAGUAGUGAAAAUGAACAGAUGUGAAAACCAGGGUGGAACCGAAUAUUCCCAUUCUCAGACCUUUUGUGAUUAAAUUUAUCUCUGAAUUGUUCCCUAUGGACUCUUCUAAAAAUGAAACGUUAUUC
rnacentral:lncRNA from 1 species